UACGGGGGGGGCAAGCGUUGUUCGGAAUUACUGGGCGUAAAGGCUCGUAGGCGGCCAACUAAGUCAUACGUGAAAUCCCUCGGCUUAACCGGGGAACUGCGUCUGAUACUGGAUGGCUUGAGUAUGGGAGAGGUGAGUGGAAUUCCCGGUGUAGCGGUGAAAUGCGUAGAUAUUCGCAAGAACACCAGUGGCGAAGGCGGCUCACUGGCCCGAUACUGACGCUGAUGGCACGAAAGCGUGGGAGCAAACAGG
rnacentral:rRNA from 1 species